CCCCACUUUUAUUGGUAUUUGGUAUAAAAAUAAACAAUGGCUAAGAAGAAGAGCUGGUUCAGUCUAGUGAAGAUGUUCUUCCUCAUUGAGACAAUUGCAAAAACAGAAAAGAAGGAGAACUGGAGGAAAUGGAUGCUAGGAAGCUCAAGAACCAAAAGGUUGACAGCACCAAUAAAGGAUGAGCAUAUUGUGGCCGAAGAAGUGGUUUCAGCCGCUCAGGUUGCGGCCGAGAUUGUUCCGCUCGCCGAUACCCAUCAAUCCGAGUAUAUAUGUGAUGAACAAACCAAGAAUGUUCAACCUGAUUCCUCUUAGAGGACUAUCCAAGAAGAUGCAACCAAAGAAAUCCAGGUUACCUUGCAAGGAAAGCUCUGUGGGCGCUGAAGGGGAUAGUGAAGCUUCAAGCAAUCAUCUGCGGAACGGCUGUGAGAUGACAAGCAAUGACUACUCUAAGAUGCUUACAGUCGAUACUGAACAUUCAGUCUCAGGUUUGUGCAAGGAGAUUCCAAGUGGAGGAAGGCACUUGGCAAUAUGAUGAGACCAAACAGUUGGUGACAUUGCAAGCCAAGAUAUUAAGCCAAAGAAGAUGGGAUGAUAGCAUUUUGAAAAAGGAAGAGGCAGAUGCAAUGUUUUAAGCAAGAAAGAAGUUGCAAUCAAAAGAGAGCGAAUAAAAGAAUACUCGUAUGUUCAUCGGGUAAAGGCUUCGAGUAUCUGCCUUCAACUUUUUAUUUUCCAAGUGCUUUGUGCUAAGGAGUUUGAAAAGAAAAUUGCAGAAGUCAGCAGAAUCAGAGCAAAAUAAGGGUAAUGGAAGGUUAAAGUACUGGUUAGAUGAAUGGGUGGAUACUCAAGUCGGUAAAAGUAAAGAACUCGAAGGUUUGGACUUCAAAUCGCAAGCAGCCUACGGAAGAAAACAGAGCUAAACAGAUAAGGCUGAGAUCAUUAUAAUUUGGAAGGAUUGGAUUCUCUGAUGCUACCGUUUCAAUAAAGAUCGUUUCACAAGAAGCAGUCUUCUUUGGGAGAAGACAACUGUUUUUCAGCCUCUCCUGUAGUUCCAACAUACAUGGUCGCUACACAAUCUGCAAAGGCCAAGGUAAGAUCGAUGAGUUCACCGAAGCUAAGGCCUGUGAGUUUCGAUACUCAGUCUGAAAGCUACUCACCAUAUAAGAGAAAACUGUGCCUUGUAUCUUCAAUUACAAGGACUAGUGCUUAUCAGCAGAGAUCCCCUAGACUAAAUGGCAUGUCGGGUCCUGUGAAUUCGAAGCAAACCUUAAAGGAUCUUAGCUUGAGCUCCGCCUGUUUGUUGCAUAGUUCGGUGCAAGAAAGCACCUUUAGGUAUCGACUUUGAACACUGGAUGCUACUUUGUGCUUAAACAAUUGAAUGAAUGAAUCCAGUUUUUGUACUAAAAUUGUGGGUGUCCAUCACCAGGAAAAUCAAUGGAGGAUCACAG